rnacentral:rRNA from 1 species
UACGAAGGGUGCAAACGUUGCUCGGAAUUAUUGGGCGUAAAGCGCACGUAGGCGGCUUAGCAAGUCGGAUGUGAAAUCCCUCGGCUCAACCAAGGAAGUGCAUCCGAAACUGCUGAGCUUGAAUACGAAAGAGGAUCGCGGAAUUCCCGGUGUAGAGGUGAAAUUCGUAGAUAUCGGGAGGAACACCAGUGGCGAAGGCGGCGAUCUGGGUCGAUACUGACGCUGAGGUGCGAAAGCGUGGGGAGCAAACAGG